AGUCAGUGUUUAAACUGAGUACACCGUGCUCUCUCACCAGAGAAGAGCUCCUACACAUCAGAGGAACAAGUCAGAUGUUUUAUACUUCAGGAAAACGCUGAUCGGUACCUGCUGCUGCACCUGAGACUGAUGGCUGAUUGGAUCCCCUCACCCUCAGCUGGCCUAUCAGCAGGCAGGGCUGAUCACAAAGGAAGCAGCCAGGAAGCUUUCUGUCUCUCUGACCUGGGCCUGCUGCGGACUCCGUAGCCUGCAGGGUCAUUGUGUUAGUGUGUGACUCGAGACAGAGUCUUGUUCUGUUUACUGUGGAGGUGUGUGUGGUGGGAGGUGGAGGCGUUAGGUAAGUUUGGGGUACCCUCUACAUUUCAUCGCGUAGUUUAAGCCACACUAGGUUAGUGGAUUGUUGCCGCCCCUGUAUUUUGCUUUGUUCCAUCCUGCAGAGAGUGGGGGGGUUUGUUUGAGUUGUUGUUUUAAGGAUAGAUUUAGAGAGGGGUCUUGUUUUGUUGUAUUUAUUUCUUUUGUUUGGCACAAUAUCCCUCGUCUCCCCCUCCUCCUCCUCCCCCUCCUCAUCUGAAAGACUAAUACACCUUUGUUAACUUUCACUCUGACUCUCUCCAUUAUUGGUUGUUUUGUUAUUGUCCCCUGGUCCCCUCGACCUUGGUGGGGGAUGUAACGGAGUGGCUGGUUUUUCCUUUAAGUGAGAAAAUAGUUUUCUGUGACGCGUUAAACCUCAACAACGCUGAAUAUAAAGAGCGUGUUUCGGAGAACUGACAUGCCUGUUUGCAAACACACUGACUCUGUUCCCUGUUGUUCUAUAAAUGUGUCCGCCCUCCGGCCAAAGGGGGUCUGGAAGGCAGCCUCAUGUCGCUCCGGAUCAGAACUUUUACUAUAUCCUCUCGGGCAGGAGAAGGAGCACCCAUUAACACACACACAACUCUGAAUCAUCCCUGUGUGUGUGUGUGUGUGUGUGUGUGUGUGUGUGUGUGUGUGUGUGUGUGUGUGUGUGUGUGUGUGUGUGUGUGUGUGUGUGUGUGUGUGUGUGUGUGUGUGUGUGUGUGUGUGUGUGUUACAGAUUUACACUUGAAUAGGCGCUUAAUAUAGCUUUGCAGUCGUCAAAUUAAACACACUAUUAUCCGUGCUUUUAAUCCUGGACCAUUUUGUCCUUAUCUAUUUAUAAUGACUCGUAGAAUAAAGGAAGACAAAAUGAAUCAAUACAACAAAUAUAAAAACCCAAAAGAAAUACAUAUAAUAAACAUAAAUAAUACAAAUAUUAAGGAUGAUUAUAAUAGAGGUUAAUUGACCAACUUAAAAGGAAACAUUGCUGAUAAAACUGUUAAUAAUAUAAGUUCAAACCUAUAAAACAAAUAAAUCAAAAUAAAAUGUAUUAAUAAUAAAGAUUUGGGGAUUGAAGACGAUGUCAGUAUAAAGUAUACUUUAUUUUUGCACAAUUAGAGGAUCCUGGGACUUUAUUAUUUACAAAG